CCUACGGGUGGCUGCAGUCGAGAAUCUUCGGCAAUGGGCGCAAGCCUGACCGAGCGACGCCGCGUGGAGGAUGAAGGCCUUCGGGUUGUAAACUCCUGUCGGGGGGGAACAAGGUGCCGUGCAGAGCGGUGCUCGAGUGAUCCCCGGAGGAAGCACGGGCUAAGUUCGUGCCAGCAGCCGCGGUAAGACGAACCGUGCGAACGUUAUUCGGAAUCACUGGGCUUAAAGCGCGUGCAGGCGGCCUGGAACGUCCGUUGCUGAAAGCCCCCGGCUCA
rnacentral:rRNA from 1 species